CCUACGGGAGGCAGCAGUAAGGAAUAUUGGUCAAUGGACGAAAGUCUGAACCAGCCAUGCCGCGUGAAGGAUUAAGGCCCUCUGGGUUGUAAACUUCUUUUAUCUGGGACGAAAAAAGGGUAUUCUUACUCACUUGACGGUACCAGAGGAAUAAGCACCGGCUAACUCCGUGCCAGCAGCCGCGGUAAUACGGAGGGUGCAAGCGUUAUCCGGAUUUACUGGGUUUAAAGGGUGCGUAGGUGGGCUUGUAAGUCAGUGGUGAAAUCCCCGGGCUUAACCCGGAAACUGCCAUUGAUACUAUAGGUCUUGAAUUAUCUGGAGGUAAGCGGAAUAUGUCAUGUAGCGGUGAAAUGCUUAGAUAUGACAUAGAACACCAAUUGCGAAGGCAGCUUACUACGGAUAUAUUGACACUGAGGCACGAAAGCGUGGGGAUCAAACAGGAUUAGAUACCCUGGUAGUCCACGCCCUAAACGAUGGAUACUCGACAUCAGCGAUACACUGUUGGUGUCUGNGNGAAGANAUAUAUCCACCUGGAGAGANCGCANAUAGAAUAAUAGAUAGAGNGNGAGAGNGCGAGACGACGACGAGGAGAGG
rnacentral:rRNA from 1 species